rnacentral:rRNA from 1 species
UACGGGGGGGGCAAGCGUUGUUCGGAAUUACUGGGCGUUAAAGGGUUCGUAGGUGGCCUGCUAAGUCAGACGUGAAAUCCCUCAGCUUAACUGGGGACUGCGUCUGAUACUGGUGGGCUUGAGUGCAGGAGAGGAACGCGGAAUUCCAGGUGUAGCGGUGAAAUGCGUAGAUAUCUGGAGGAACACCGGUGGCGAAGGCGGCGUUCUGGACUGCAACUGACACUGAGGAACGAAAGCCAGGGAGCAAACGGG